rnacentral:lncRNA from 1 species
UCAAGGAGAUGAUGAAUUUGACGAUGAUGAUGAUGAGGACGACGAUGAUGAGGAUGAAGAUGAGGAAGAGGAUGACGAUGAGGAGGAAGAGGAUGACGAUGAGGAUGAAGACGAUGAAGAGGAAGAAGAAACUAAGAGCCAGAAGAAGGUACACUUGUAGAAAUUUUCGGCUUCUUCAACCUUUUACUCUUUACAGUUAAAAUGGGCAGAUGCUAAUAUCUUU